GAGGGUGUAGCUCAGUGGUAGAGCAUGUGCUUAGCAUGCACGAGGUCCUGGGUUCAAUCCCCAGUACCUCCA
rnacentral:tRNA from 1 species